rnacentral:pre_miRNA from 1 species
AACAAAUCAACUUUUCAGUUUUUAGAUAUAAUGUUUGACUCUUCGUCUUAUUAAAAUUUUUUACGAUUAAUAAUUUUAUUUUUAUUAGAUAAUAAAAUAUGAAUAUUACUUUAUGUAUGACUAAUUUUUUUAUAAUUUCUUGAAAUUUUCUCAAAUAAGACGGAUGGUCAAAUAUUCGACACAGAAACCAAAAGGUUGGUUUUUU